rnacentral:rRNA from 1 species
CGCGUAGGCGGCCCGGUAAGUCCGCUGUAAAAGUCCAGGGCUCAACCCUGGAAAGCCGGUGGAUACUGUCGGGCUCGAGUCCGGAAGAGGCGAGUGGAAUUCCUGGUGUAGCGGUGGAAUGCGCAGAUAUCAGGAGGAACACCGAUAGCGAAGGCAGCUCGCUGGGACGGUAUGACGCUGAGGCGCGAAAGCGUGGGAGCAAACA